UGCAUCCUCCUUCCCAGCUCCUUGUGCAUGGACGUCACAGCUCUGGAAAAACAUCCUGGAUCUGACCGAGCUUACAUGUGUGGAGUCAAGGAGGUCUCCCAUGCUGGAGGUGUCUACAGGCUGAGGAUGAAGCUCAGGGCACAAGGCUGGAGGAGGAGGGGCCACACCCCAGACAGGACACCAGUGACUCGCAAGACACCCCAAGCAGGACUCGAACCCCAGACCCACCUCAGAGCAGGAGCCAGCCAAGCCUACUGGGCCACCACACCCCUGUGGAAAGGGUUGCGGGGAACUGGAGCCUAUCCGGCAACACAGGGCAUAAGGCCGGAGGGGGAGGGGACACACCCAGGACGGG
rnacentral:lncRNA from 1 species